rnacentral:rRNA from 1 species
UGCGUAGGCGGAAUAAUAAGUCAGUGGUGAAAUCCUGUGGCUCAACUACAGAACUGCCAUUGAUACUGUUAUUCUUGAAUAUAGUUGAGGUAGGCGGAAUGUGUAAUGUAGCGGUGAAAUGCUUAGAUAUUACACAGAACACCGAUUGCGAAGGCAGCUUGCUAAACUAUUAUUGACGCUGAGGCACGAAAGCGUGGGGAGCGAACAGGAUUAGAUACCCUGGUAGUCC